rnacentral:lncRNA from 1 species
ACUGGCAAAGCAGAGGAAAUGGAGGAGUCCACACAUGGGACGGAAAAAAAAAGAAUCCAAAGAAGGGGAGAGAGACUGGCAGAUCAGAGAAAUAGAAAGAGGGGAAUAAAAGCAGAAGGGAAGACAGGCAACAAGGGGGUCUGAGGAGCGGGAGAAAGGGGCUGCCCUUUGGGCAGCUUGCAGAGACGCAGGAACAAGAGGCAUUAGCCUUGGGAGAGUGAAACCGAGAGAAUAAAAAGGCUGCUUGGGCAGCGUGAUCGAGAGAGGAAUAAGCUGCCCAAGGCAGCAUGGCAGAGAGAGACGUGCGGAGAGAGAGAGCCGAGCUGCCCAUGCAGCUUUGAAUAAGACGUGCAAGGUGCGGGGAGUCCAAGGGCAGCGUGAGCUGCGAAGAGAAUUGAGGGCAGUGAGGCUGCCCGGAAAGAAAAAAAAGAAUAAAAAAAAAAAGAUAGAACUAAAAACAGAAGGCUGACGGGGCAAGUGAUGACGCAGUGAAGCUGCACAGAAAGCAGAAGCACUCUCUCUCGGUUAAAUCCUUUCAACUUAUAUUUUAUUUCUAUUUUUAAUAAUGUGUAAAUAAAUUGAUUUUGGCUAGAGGUUAAUUCAAAGCCAUGAUUAUAUCUGUAAUAUGAAUUGAUUACCUUCG